rnacentral:rRNA from 1 species
UACGUAGGGGGCAAGCGUUGUCCGGAUUUAUUGGGCGUAAAGAGCGUGUAGGCGGCCAUACAGGUCUGCUGUGAAAACUCGAGGCUCAACCUCGAGCUGUCGGUGGAAACCGUAUGGCUAGAGUCCGGAAGAGGAGAGUGGAAUUCCCGGUGUAGCGGUGAAAUGCGCAGAUAUCGGGAAGAACACCCGUGGCUAAGGCGGCUCUCUAGUACGGUACUGACGCUGAGACGCGAAAGCGUGGGGAG